rnacentral:misc_RNA from 1 species
GUAGGUGAACCUGCGGAAGGAUCAUUGCUGAUGCCGGCGGUCGGUCGAGCCCUCGAGAGGGGGUGAGGCCGCCGCUUCCAACAUCAUCUGCCCCUUUGUGAACCCGGCACCGGAGCGCCGAACGAGAGCGAGCUUUGGGGCCCGCACUCUUUCCCUUCCCCUCACGGGGAAAAGGAUAGGCUUCCUCUGCCCAACAACCUGUCUUUUAUUGCCUGUCUCCCCAGACUGAAGCAAAAAAAAACAAAAUAUU